CCACCUGCUGCUAUAUGAGGACACAGCAGCAAGGUGCCAUCUUGGAAGCAGAGAACAGCCCUCGCCAGACACCAAAAUUGGUGGCUUCAGAACCGUAAGAAGAAUGGUCACACUGUUUUCCAAAGUGACUGCACCAUUUCAUAUUUCUACCAGCAACAUCAUCAUCUUCCUUUUACAGAUGAAGAAACUCAUAUCAUGGAAAAGCAUGGAUGAAAUCCUCUGACCACCCUACAUUUAAAGGACCUUUAAAGAGAAAGAACUGACAGUGUAAGUGGAAAAAGAGCAACUGGAAGUAGCAGGAGAAGGAAAAACCAUUAUCAUACAACUGGUGGGAAGAAGGAAUGUCAAAAACAUCAGUGUGAAAAUAAUUGCAGUAAAACGGUAAAUCCCAGUAAUUACUGAAAAGAGAUUUUUAGGAUGUGGGCAAUGGAAGGUACAUGGUGAUUCUCAGAAGUCUCAUGGGCAAGCAGUGAGUGAGAUUGCCAUGGGUGACAGUAUAUGUUACAUAAGGAGGUGAAGGCAGCAUGAUUUGGAAAUUCAGGUGAUGGAAGGAAAUGAGUAGAAAUCCAUCUUUGGAUGGAGAAGGCAUGAGCAGGUCUAUGGAGGCAAGAAGCUGGAGUGAUUAAGAUACUGUACAAUGAGGUAGAGUGAUGUAUUGGAAAAGCUGAGGAGGGGAUAGCUUCCCAAGAGUUAAUGAAUGGGGGUGUUUCAUACAAAGAGAGACUUAUUUCUCUGUGGCCACAGAUGGAAGGAGAGAUAAGAGUGACUGGGGGCCGGGCGCGGUGGCUCACGCCUGUAAUCCCAGCACUUUGGGAGGCUGAGGCGGGUGGAUCACGAGGUCAGGUGAUCGAGACCAUCCUAGCUAACACGGUGAAACCCCGUCUCUACUAAAAAUGCAAAAAAUUAGCCAGGCGUGGUGGCGGG
rnacentral:lncRNA from 10 species